UACGUAGGUGGCAAGCGUUGUCCGGAUUUACUGGGCGUAAAGAGCGCGCAGGCGGUCGUUCAAGUCGCGUGUGAAAGCCCCCGGCUCAACUGGGGAGGGUCACGCGAUACUGAUCGACUCGAAGGCAGGAGAGGGAAGUGGAAUUCCCGGUGUAGUGGUGAAAUGCGUAGAGAUCCGGAGGAACACCGAAGGCGAAGGCAGUGUCCUGGCGAGUGACUGACGCUGAGGUGCGAAAGCCAGGGGAGCGAACGGG
rnacentral:rRNA from 1 species